rnacentral:rRNA from 1 species
UACAGAGGGGGCAAGCGUUUGUUCGGAAUUACUGGGCGUAAAGGGCGCGUAGGCGGCCCGCUAAGUCGAACGUGAAAUCCCCAGGCUCAACCUGGGAACUGCGUCCGAUACUGGCAGGCUUGAAUCCGGGAGAGGGAUGUGGAAUUCCAGGUGUAGCGGUGAAAUGCGUAGAGUAUCUGGAGGAACACCGGUGGCGAAGGCGGCAUCCUGGACCGGUAUUGACGCUGAGGC